rnacentral:rRNA from 1 species
AGUAACACGUGGGUAACCUGCCUUAUAUGGGGGAUAGCCUUUCGAAAGGAAGAUUAAUACCGCAUAAGAUUGUAGUAUCGCAUGAUAUAGCAAUUAAAGGAGCAAUUCGCUAUAAGAUGGACCCGCGUCGCAUUAGCUAGUUGGUGAGGUAAUGGCUCACCAAGGCGACGAUGCGUAGCCGACCUGAGAGGGUGAACGGCCACAUUGGGACUGAGACACGGCCCAGACUCCUACGGGAGGCAGCAUG